AGCUCAGUGGUAGAGCACUCACCUAGCAAGUGUGAGGCCCUGGGUUCAACUCCCAG
rnacentral:tRNA from 1 species